AAAGCUUUAAGUUAUAAUUUAAACUAUUAACCUUCAAAGUUAAAAAAGCAAAACAUAUGUAAGCUUUA
rnacentral:tRNA from 1 species